rnacentral:ncRNA from 1 species
GUUAGAUUGUUAGUUGUUAUGCCAUGACCAUGUGGGAAUGAUAGAAGUUCGAAGCGAUUUUGACAUGCAAAUUGAUCAUCUAACUUCGGUGUAGGGACGAAGGACUAAUCGAACUGUCUAAUAGCUGGUUCCUUCUGAAAUAUCUCUCAGAAUAGCUGGAGUACGUAAUAAAGCAGUUAUAUUCGAUAAAGCGAAUGAUUAGAGGAGUUGUAGGAAGAAACGUCUUCAACCUAUUCUCAAAUUUUCAAUGAGUAUGACGUCUUGCUUGCUUGAAUGAAGCGUGGACAUUGAAUGUGGACCAUUUUUGAUAAGCAGAACUGACACUUGGGAAGACCAAACAUUGAGUUGAAGUAUAAGUUUGCGUUGUUACGUUAAAAUAGCAGAAUGUAUUGUUAUAUUACAUCAGCAUGAGGAUUGUAUUACAUGUAGUUAAAAAAGUAUAGCGUCGUUUGGUAAUUUAGGUGAGCCGAGCACAGUU